rnacentral:rRNA from 1 species
AGGCAGCAGUAAGGAAUAUUGGUCAAUGGACGGAAGUCUGAACCAGCCAUGCCGCGUGAAGGAUGAAGGCCCUCUGGGUUGUAAACUUCUUUUAUCUGGGACGAAAAAAGGGGAUUCUUCCUCACUUGACGGUACCAGAGGAAUAAGCACCGGCUAACUCCGUGCCAGCAGCCGCGGUAAUACGGAGGGUGCAAGCGUUAUCCGGAUUUACUGGGUUUAAAGGGUGCGUAGGUGGAUAGGUAAGUCAGUGGUGAAAUCUUCGAGCUUAACUCGGAAACUGCCAUUGAUACUAUUUAUCUUGAAUACUUUGGAGGUAAGCGGAAUAUGUCAUGUAGCGGUGAAAUGCUUAGAUAUGACAUAGAACACCAAUUGCGAAGGCAGCUUACUACACAGUUAUUGACACUGAGGCACGAAAGCGUGGGGAUCAAACAGGAUUAGAUACCCUGGUAG